GAUGAACGCUGGCGGCGUGCUUAACACAUGCAAGUCGAACGAUGAAGCCCAGCUUGCUGGGUGGAUUAGUGGCGAACGGGUGAGUAACACGUGAGUAACCUGCCCUUAACUCUGGGAUAAGCCUGGGAAACUGGGUCUAAUACCGGAUAGGAGCGUCCACCGCAUGGUGGGUGUUGGAAAGAUUUAUCGGUUUUGGAUGGACUCGCGGCCUAUCAGCUUGUUGGUGAGGUAAUGGCUCACCAAGGCGACGACGGGUAGCCGGCCUGAGAGGGUGACCGGCCACACUGGGACUGAGACACGGCACAGACUCCUACGGGAGGCAGCGGUGGGGAAUAUUGCACAAUGGGCGCAAGCCUGAUGCAGCGACGCCGCGUGAGGGAUGACGGCCUUCGGGUUGUAACCCUCUUUCAGUAGGGAAGAAGCGAAAGUGACGGUACCUGCAGAAGAAGCACCGGCUAACUACGUG
rnacentral:rRNA from 1 species